ensembl:lncRNA
GUAUCUCCCCACUCUUUUUUUUUUUUUCUCCAAAAGUAAAAUAGUAAGAUUUUUACUCCAUGUAGUUUAAUCUUGAAAUGUACUGAUAGCGUGUAGUGCUGUUCCCCUGCUUGUUGGUAGAGUUGACUUGUGUGCUGAAUCAUAGCCUCCACUCGAAAAUUAUAAACUAUACCAGUAAGAACUUGCCGGCACAAACACAAAUGUUUUAAAUCGAAAUGGCACAAUGAAAAACAGUUGAGUUGAAGACUGAUGUAUUUGACAUUUUUUUUAUUAGAUUUAACUUUGGUAAACUAAUCCUGUACAAAUUGUGCAUAACGAGCAACACAUCUGGAUGUUUUGAGUCCUUUUACAUUUUUAUAUUACAGUUAAUGUACAAAAUGCAUUAGGUGAUGGUAUAACUGUAAUACUAUGUUUAUAGCUCCUAUCGAAAGGGGGUGAAGGCUUUAUCUAUUCACUGCCAAUUUGAUUGCAUUUGAGGCCAAAGAAUUUUACAGCUGAAAGGAGUCAUUUAGAAUAGAACUGAUAUAAAGUUUUGAAAGGUCAAUACUGUACAUAUACACGCACGGUAUUAAUCAUACUCUGUGUCUUUCAAAUUUGUCAUUUUGUAUAUAGAAGAAUGCAUCAAUUUUCACAAGUUAUUGCCUUGAGCGAUUUAGAAAAAUCGCAACCAAGGUUUUGUGAUGACGUCUUUUAGGUAAUCAGUUUCUCUCUGACAUCUGUGACGUUGAAGAAAUUUUACUAUUUUUUAAGGUCCACUGUCUUGUUUGAGUGUGUUCAAUAAACUAGAAUUCGCCAUCUCUGAAAUCAGUCUUUGUGAACCAUUAGGCCAAAUGCUACUUUUCUGUGCAAUUUUAUCUAAUGUACUAAUUGAAUCAAUUAAAUGCAAUAAACAUGAUGGAGUAGGACAGCAGCAUAUUUUACAAGGUCUGUUGAAGUUAUGUUUGUGAAAGGUUUGUGCAGCCUACUUGCCAAAACAUAACCUGCUGUUCUUUUCUCAGGGUAAGUGUUGUGACCAGGUUUGGGGUCAAUUCUGGAAGUACUCUCUAAUGUUAGAAUUUCUUUUUUAUUAGGAACAUUUGGAAUUUUAUCCCAGCCCUGGUCGUGACAUCCUUUCAAAAAAGGUUAUAGACCGAUCAAGUCCAUUUUCUCAUGUUUACACUUGGCCAUUUAAAAGAAAAUGAUGGAUUGUGCUUGAGGCUGUCGUGUUUUCUUAUCUUCACAGUAUCGUGGCAUUGACCCAAAGGUUUUCUUCCAAUGGUCAGAUUAACGCAGACCUGUCUUCGGUGGUUUAAUAACGUACAG